rnacentral:rRNA from 1 species
GACGAACGCUGGCGGCGUGCCUUAGACAUGCAAGUCGAACGGAGUAGCAAUACUCAGUGGCGAACGGCGGAGUAAUGCAUAAGCAACGUGCCCCAAAGACUGGGAUAGUCGAGGGAAACCACGGGUAAUACCAGAUGUGGUCCUUAGAUGGCAUCAUCGAGGGAUUAAAUCGAGCAAUCGGCUUUGGGAGCGGCUUAUGUCCUAUCAGCUUGUUGGUGAGGUAACGGCUCACCAAGGCUACGACGGGUAGGGGGUCUGAGAGGAUGAUCCCCCCGAGUGGGACUGCGACACGGCCCACACACCUACGGGUGGCAGCAGUUUGGAAUAUUGCACAAUGGGGGAAACCCUGAUGCAGCGACGCCGCGUGGAGGACGAAGGAUCUAGGUCUGUAAACUCCUUUUGCCAGGAAAGACUUAGGACGGUACCUGGCGAAUAAGCCCCGGCUAACUACGUGCCAGCAGCCGCGGUAAGACGUAGGGGGCGAGCGUUGUCCGGAUUUACUGGGCGUAAAGAGCGCGUAGGCGGCUAGUUAAGUGAGAAGUGAAAUCUCCAGGGCUCAACCCGGAAACUGCUUUUCAUACUGGCCAGCUGGAGGGACGCAGGGGUGACUGGAAUUCCCGGUGUAGCGGUGAAAUGCAUUGAUAUCGGGAGGAACUCCAACAGCGAAGGCAGGUCACUGGGCGUUUCCUGACGCUGAGGCGCGAAAGCGUGGGUAGCAAACAGGAUUAGAUACCCUGGUAGUCCACGCCCUAAACGAUGGAUACUAGACGUAAGAGGUAUCGACCCCUCUUGUGUCGCAGCUAACGCAUUAAGUAUCCCGCCUGGGGAGUACGGCCGCAAGGUUGAAACUCAAAUGAAUUGACGGGGACCCGCACAAGCGGUGGAGCAUGUGGAUUAAUUCGAUGCAACGCGAAAAACCUUACCCACCUUUGACAUGUAUGGAAUCCUUUAGAGAUAGAGGAGUGCUCGCAAGAGAGCCAUAACACAGGUGCUGCAUGGCUGUCGUCAGCUCGUGUCGUGAGAUGUUGGGUUAAGUCCCGCAACGAGCGCAACCCUUGCCAUCAGUUGCUACGAAAGGGCACUCUGAUGGGACUGCCGGUGACAAACCGGAGGAAGGUGGGGAUGACGUCAAGUCCUCAUGGCCCUUAUAGGUGGGGCUACACACGUCAUACAAUGGCCGGUACAAAGGGUAGCGAAGCCGCGAGGUGAAGCCAAUCCCAUAAAGCCGGUCGUAGUCCGGAUCGCAGUCUGCAACUCGACUGCGUGAAGUCGGAAUCGCUAGUAAUCGUGGAUCAGCAUGUCACGGUGAAUACGUUCCCGGGUCUUGUACACACCGCCCGUCACACCAUGGGAGCGGGUCUCGCCAGAAGCAGGUAGCCUAACCGCAAGGAGGGCGCUUGCCACGGCGGGGUUCGUGACUGGGGUGA